rnacentral:lncRNA from 1 species
GAAAAUGGGAAAUUCAGGGGGAAAGGGGAAAUUUUGAGGUGAAAAAAUGGAAUUUUUGGGUGGAAAAAUCCCAAAUUUGGGGCCCCGCCCCUCCCCCGACACCCAACGACCAUAAAUGGUUUUAUGCAAAUUUAUUUAAAUUAGGGAUCAACUCAUCAAAAAGGACCUUGAGGGGGGGAAUUUGGGGGGUCUCACUCUGGAUUUUGGGGUUUUUGGGGCUGUCAAUCAAAGUUUUGGGGUCAUUUUUCAGGAUUUUGGGGCUCGAAGUGGGCGGGGCCCCGAGGAAUUCACCGGGAUUGGGAUUUGGGGUUUGGAUUUGGGGAUUUUGGGGUCAAAUGUUGGGAUUUUGGGGUCAUUUAUUGGGAUUUUGGGGUCAUUUAUUGGGAUUUUGGGGUCAAUUGUUGGGAUUUUGGGGUCAUUUAUUGGGAUUUCGGGGUCAGUUGUU